GACGUAGGGCGCGAGCGUUGUCCGGAUUUAUUGGGCGUAAAGGGCGCGUAGGCGGCUUUAUAAGUCGGGGGUGAAAGCCUGUGGCUCAACCACAGAAUUGCCUUCGAUACUGUAGAGCUUGAGACCGGAAGAGGUAAGUGGAACUGCGAGUGUAGAGGUGAAAUUCGUAGAUAUUCGCAAGAACACCAGUGGCGAAGGCGGCUUACUGGUCCGGUUCUGACGCUGAGGCGCGAAAGCGUGGGGAGCAAACAGG
rnacentral:rRNA from 1 species